UCGGGUGCAGCAGGCGCGAAAACUUCGCAAUGGGGGAAACUCCGACGAGGGAAAGCCAAGUGCCAGCCUUAGCUGGCUGUUUUCUUGUCUAAAAAACAAGGAGAGUAAGGGCUGGGUAAGACGGGUGCCAGCCGCCGCGGUAAUACCUGCAGCCCGAGUGGUGCUCGUUAUUAUUGGGUCUAAAUCGUCCGUAGUCGGCCGGGUAGAUGCCUGGGUAAAUCGAGGCGCCUAACGUCUCGAAUGCCAGGUAGACCACCCGGCUUGGGAUCGGGAGAGGUGCGAGGUACUCCAGGGGUAGGGGUAAAAUCCUGUAAUCCUUGGGGGACCACCGGUGGCGAAGGCGUCGCACUAUAACGAGUCCGACAAUCAGGGACAAAACCCUGGGGCGCAAACGGGAUUAGAUACCCCGGUAGUCCAGGGUGUAAACGCUGCAAGCUUGGUGUCAGCGAUCCUACUAGGGUGACCGGAGCCGGAGCGGAAGUGUUAUGCCUGCACCCGGAAGAGUACCGUCGCGGGACAGCACAUUGUAGGAAUUGC
rnacentral:rRNA from 1 species